GAGAACUGUACCACGUUGAAUACACCGGUUCUCGUCCGAUCAGUGCGAUCACUGAAGUUAAGCAACCUCGGGCGCGGUCAGUACUUGGAUGGGUGACCGCCUAGGAACACCGCGUGACAUUGGCC
rnacentral:rRNA from 1 species